rnacentral:rRNA from 1 species
AUGGCUCCGCCUCCAGGUAAGCUGAUGGACACGAUCAGAAGGCCGGUCGCAGCAGCUUCAUCUCUCCAUCAUUCAGCGGCGAAGCAUCUGGCCAUCUUGGCUCAUAGGAACGUGGUUAACAGGAGGUACCUCCUCACUCUACUGGCAUCCGCCGCAGCCAUACCUGAGGCCGGUGAAUCAAGAAAAGCCCUAUUGCAAGAUUAUGUGAAGAAAUCAAAGGAAAACAAAGAAAAGAAUGACAAGGAGAGGCGGGACGCCGUUUACAAAAGGAAUUACAAGGAUUAUUUCGGUUUCAUGGAAGGCCCGGUUAGAGAGAAGCCAGCGGAGGAGCUCACAGAGUCGGAGAAAGGAAUUCUCGCGUGGCUGGACAAGAACAAGUAG